CAGCAGUGGGGAAUAUUGCACAAUGGGGGAAACCCUGAUGCAGCGACGCCGCGUGGAGGAAGAAGGUCUUCGGAUUGUAAACUCCUGUUGUUGAGGAAGAUAAUGACGGUACUCAACAAGGAAGUGACGGCUAACUACGUGCCAGCAGCCGCGGUAAAACGUAGGUCACAAGCGUUGUCCGGAAUUACUGGGUGUAAAGGGAGCGCAGGCGGGAAGACAAGUUGGAAGUGAAAUCUAUGGGCUCAACCCAUAAACUGCUUUCAAAACUGUUUUUCUUGAGUAGUGCAGAGGUAGGCGGAAUUCCCGGUGUAGCGGUGGAAUGCGUAGAUAUCGGGAGGAACACCAGUGGCGAAGGCGGCCUACUGGGCACCAACUGACGCUGAGGCUCGAAAGUGUGGGUAGCAAACAGGAUUAGAUACCCUGGUAGUCCACACCGUAAACGAUGAUUACUAGGUGUUGGAGGAUUGACCCCUUCAGUGCCGCAGUUAACACAAUAAGUAAUCCACCUGGGGAGUACGACCGCAAGGUUGAAACUCAAAGGAAUUGACGGGGGCCCGCACAAGCAGUGGAGUAUGUGGUUUAAUUCGACGCAACGCGAAGAACCUUACCAAGUCUUGACAUCCCUUGACAGACAUAGAAAUAUGUAUUCUCUUCGGAGCAAGGAGACAGGUGGUGCAUGGUUGUCGUCAGCUCGUGUCGUGAGAUGUUGGGUUAAGUCCCGCAACGAGCGCAACCCUUAUGGUCAGUUACUACGCAAGAGGACUCUGGCCAGACUGCCGUUGACAAAACGGAGGAAGGUGGGGAUGACGUCAAAUCAUCAUGCCCUUUAUGACUUGGGCUACACACGUACUACAAUGGCGUUAAACAAAGAGAAGCAAGACCGCGAGGUGGAGCAAAACUCAGAAACAACGUCCCAGUUCGGACUGCAGGCUGCAACUCGCCUGCACGAAGUCGGAAUUGCUAGUAAUCGCAGAUCAGCAUGCUGCGGUGAAUACGUUCCCGGGCCUUGUACACACCGCCCGUCACACCAUGAGAGCCGGGGGGACCCGAAGUCGGUAGUCUAACCGCAAGGAGGACGCCGCCGAAGGUAAAACUGGUGAUUGGGGUGAAGUCGUAACAAGGUAGCCGUAGGAGAACCUGCGGCUG
rnacentral:rRNA from 1 species